CUGGAGGGAACUAAAGGAUUUUAGCGUAUAUAUAAGAUAUUUCUCUACUUUGCAUGUUUCAGAAACCAUUGUUCUUUAUAUUUACAUGUGUCUCACAGGCGUGUUGAUAUCCAGCCGGUUUGCAGUGACCUGCAGGGUCAGAUUCUGAAAUGCUACAGGGAGAACACUGGAAAGACUCUGUCCUGCUCCAGUAUCGCCUCGGCCUACAUGCAGUGUGUGGACAAUGCCAAGAAGAAUAAACUGAGCACAGGAGGGUAAUGUGACUUGAUGAAGACAUCUGACAGAUGUAAGAAAGCAAAAGAAACUUGAUGAAGAUAAUUCAACAAAUGAACGAUUUACUGGAAACACAGGAGUCACAGGAGAAUCAACUCCAGGCUUUACACUAGUCUGGAACAAGUGCCAGUGGUUUGAAGAUCAUCUGAAAGCCUAUUGUGCCACAGCAGUAGCAAAUAGAUCAAACCUGGUGUCGAAAAUAAGGCAAAUCACAACAAAGGAGCAAACGAUGAAAACUUUAGAAUUCAAGUAUUUGUAUAAGAUAUAAGGAGUGCUGUUGAUCGUCAUGUAUGUAUGCCUUGAAGUUAGGAAAGCCAUUAUCAGAUUGCAGAUGCAUGAAAGAAUUGUUCAUUGAGCCGAGUGUGAAGUGACACCUAUAAGUGUUUGAGGUUAUUGUACUGUACAUACAUUAUUUCACGGGUUAUUUCUGGUGCAUGCACAAAGAAAUUAAAGACAUCUCAAUAAACUUUGUUGUGGAAUCACAAAA